CCUGCCCACCUGACCGGCACUGCGAGUGGGGCGACAAAGGCAGAACGUAACUGCGGAGUUUAUGAUUUACUGUUUGAGUGUAAGUAUGCGUCCGGCAGGCAUUUCAGUGCAAGUAUAUGAACCGUACCAUCCGUGGACAGGAAUAGAAAAGGAGUAAGAAACAAGCACCUCCUCCUUCAGCGCACCUCAAGAUAUACAUACUGGGUUUGAAACACUGAACGCUGAAGCAAGAACGCGACAGGGCAGGAAGAAUCAGACCGGAAUGUAACGAAGAGUAAGGGGACAGGAAGAUCUGUGUCAUGUCCUCGUCACUUAUUGGAGGCAGAUGAAUAAAACGCCAACUGACUCAUCGUUGAUUCUUACCUGUGCCUCCAAUUCACAUGUCAGUGCAGGGGAGUGGUGUACCUUAACACAAUGCUGGAGAAACAACUACGCGUUUUAGAGCAACAAAACGAUAAAAAAAUCAGUGCAGGUGUAGGACCCAAGAGGCACGAGGUGAAGAAAAAUUUAAGUGGAGUUAUGAGAAGGCCCUGCCCAGAAGUUUGAGGACACUAGAGCCUUGACAACCCAUUAAGGAAGAUAAUGGGCCAGCCUUUAGUACUGCGAUGAACUAGCGGGGCCCUUAACAAGGCUCCGGGCCAGUAAUUAUGAUGGGAGCACAAUUCCCUUCCCUCUCGUGCCCUCUGCAUCUCCUGUCCCUCCCCCAUCCCCUCCUCCCCUUUCUCCCUCCUCCUCCUCCUCCUCCUCCUCCUCCUCCUCCUCCUCCUCCUCCUCCUCCUCCUCCUCCUCCUCCUCGUAACACAGGCCCCAGCUCACAAGACACCUAAGAGCACUCGGUGUAGCUGUAUUUAAUUAAAGAUGAUGAGGUGCUCUUACUCUUGUUCUGUUAUUUUCGUUUUACUAGUGUUUUUUUUUUCUUUUCUAUAUCACCUUGGUACACACACACACACACACACACACACACACACACACACACACACACACACACACACACACACACACACACACACACACACACACGUACGUUAAUACACGACUUCCCUCUCCUUUAUUAAUUUUUUUCUUCAUCUGGAGUUGGUUUGAAACUGAGGAAAAACAACUAGUAUAAUUAGCGUUCUUGCAACUUUGUUUUCUUCUUCAUCUUAUCCUGUCCCUUCCUCUUCUCCGCUACCGCUCCCUCCCUCCCUCCCUACCUCCCUCCCUCCCUCUCCUCUCUUUCUUCCUUCUUUCUACCUAUACUCCUGCUCUUCUUUCCUUCAUUCUCCUGACUUUUUACUUUCACUCCCUCCUUCCCUCCCUCCUUUCCUUUUUCUACCUCCACUCCUCUUUCUCUUUCCCUCCCUCCUUCCAUCUUUCCCUUCUUUCAGCCCUUCUUUCUUUCUUCACUCCCUCCGCUCCCUCCCUCUUCGUUUCUCUCUCCGCACAAACUUCACAAAAAACAUUCAGAAGCGGUCAGGGUGCCACGGCUGUCAAAGGGGCCAUCUGCAGGAGUUACCCCGCCUUCAUCUUCCCGUUUUCUCUCUCCGUCUAGCGUUUUCCUUGGUAACCUUACGCGUUAGGUUUUCAGUGUAUCC